AAUAGAGCAAUUAACAUGGAGAAGCAGCACCCUGGAGAAGUAGAUAAUAGAAGCUUGGGUAUAUGCCCAAGGAUGUAGCUGCAUCAUGGGGUAACUUUAUUCUCAACUUUUUGAGGAACUGACAUGCUGACUUACAGUGGUUGUAUCAAUUUGUACUCAAACUGGUGAAGGAUGAUCCCCUUUCUCUACAGUCAUGCCAGGUUCUACUGUCUAUUUUUAAAAACCUUGUCCAUUCUGAGUGGUAUAAGAUAUUUGAAGUCUCAAAGUUGUUUCCCAUUUCCCUGAUGGCUCAGGGUGGUCAACAUGUUUUUCAGACAUUUCAUUAAAAAAAAUAUUUUUGAGGUAGGUUUUGUUUUGUUUUCUUUUUUGGAUAUAGGGUUCUCUCAUUGGCAGUUCUGGAGUCCUCUGUGUAGACCCAGCUGACCAUGACCUCACAGAGAUCUAUCUGCCUCUGCCCACCAAGAGCUGGGAUUAAGGGCUAGAGCCAUCAUGUCCUGCCCAGCCCAGCUUACUUAUGUGUCUGAGUCUUCUGUCUGCUCUUAACAGCUGAGCUAUCUCUCCAGCCCACUGUAUGUCUUGAGAAGUUUUAAUUCCUUGCUGUAUUUUUGUUUUUCGAGACAGGGUUUCUCUGUGUGGCCCUGGCUGUCCUGGAACUCACUCUGUAGACCAGGCUGGCCUCGAACUCAGAAGUCCUCCUGUCUCUGACUCACAAGUGCUGGGAUUAAAGGCGUGUGCCACCACUGCCCAGCCUUUGCUGUAUUUUAAAGAUUGGCUUAUUUGCUUGCUUGUUUUUGAGGUUUAGGGUUUUUUGUUUUGUUUUAAUUUUUAAAAGACUUUUAAUGCUUAUGUGUGUGGUAUGUGAGCAUAGGUUCUCUCUAAUGGCUGUGUGUUCUAACUGCUGUUAGCUCCCCAGUCCAUGUUUUGAGAGUUUUUUUAGUUCUUUGUGUCUUCUAGACACUAAUUCUCUACCAGAUGUGUAGCUGGUAAAGACCUUUUCUCCUUCUGUAGUUGUCUCUUCACAUGAAUGAUACUGUCCCUUUGUUGUACAGAAACCUUAAGUUUUAUGAGGUCCCAUGGUUUUACUGCCUGCACUACUGGGGUCCUGUCCAGAAAGUCCUUCUGUGUGCUUUUAAGUUUAUUCCGCCCCACCCCUGACCUCUAUCAGAUUCAGGGUAUCAUGCCUUACACUGAGGUCCUUUGAUCCAUUUGGAGUUGAGGUCUGGCAGGGUGAGAGAUAAGAUUCCAGUUUACUCCACAUCCUGCUUUUCAGUUUGACCAGCAUCAUUUAUUAAAGAUGUCUUUCCUCUGGUAUCUUUGUUCCCUUUAUCAAAAAUCAGAUGGUGGUGGGGUGUGUGGACUUACCUGGGUCCUCAGUUCUACUGUAUUGGGUAAUGUGCCUUUUUAUGCCAGUGCCACGCUGGUUUUACUACUGUAGCUCCAUAGUGUGACUUUAAAAUUGGGGGUGGAGAUACCCUCAGCAGCUCUUUCACUGUUCAGGAUUGAAUUAUUGAUUAGAAUUAUUUAUCAGUUAAUGGUGUUACUGAUGUGUGUGUGUAGUCUGUAUUUUCUGUAUAAAAUUGAAUCCAUAUAUAAUUUAUGUAUAAAA
ensembl:lincRNA Gm42595 predicted gene 42595